GGCGGAAUCUGGGACAUACAGUAUGAGAGGAACGUUCAGAAAGUCUCAAAAAAGACACAGACAACCGAAACCAUGAGCAAUUUUAUUUAAAAAAAUACCUACGUUAACUGUUUCCCUCAGAAAUAGCUUAAAACGACAAAAAAUCAGGUAGGAGUUUGAUAAAUUUACUCCACAAUUCUGUGGCGGCUAGCGCUAAAGUUAGCAUGGUGCCUCCAAUGAGUAUCAGUAGCCAAGAGGAGGCAAGCAACCGGGAAGAAACCCAGAUAUCAUACUGGCACUACCACUGGAAACAAGUACAUCCACAGCAGGGUGCCCUACAUUUAAGAAACUGCACCAGCAAACUAGAGAGACCACAAGAGUACACCGGCAGCUGGUUAAAUGGGAUGCAAAGACCUGUCAAAGCACAGAUGCUGACCUGCCCGCCUCGAUGUAUUUCAUCAGCAAGUCCACACCAUUCUUAUCAAGGGACUGCACACCUUUCUCGAUGUCACUGCUCUUAAAGGCGCUGAGCACCUUCAGCACCAAACCCUCUGCACGAUCCUGGGAGAAAGAAAGAAAACCAGAGACCAGUCGAGCAUGGAUUGGGCCACAUAUUUCUGACCGAACCUGACCUGUGCCAGAGAGUGUGAUGUCAGAACCCAACCCGGACCAGGCAAGCUUAUAGUAUAAUAAUUUCUGAACCUGGCCCAGAGCCCAAUGCGGCACAGUUUGUAUUGUGUUUUUCCCCUUAUCAUUAAACAAAGCAGACAUUUGCAUGAUCCAACUGUAUAGCCUAAUGUUUGACCUACGUGUUCAAACUCA